GCGGACGUGGUGGAAUUGGUAUACACAAGAGACUUAAAAUCUCUCGAGCAACUGCUCAUGCGGGUUCAAGUCCCGCCGUCCGCACCA
rnacentral:tRNA from 1 species